GACGAACGCUGGCGGCGUGCUUAACACAUGCAAGUCGAACGGAAAGGCCCUGCUUUUGUGGGGUGCUCGAGUGGCGAACGGGUGAGUAACACGUGAGUAACCUGCCCUUGACUUUGGGAUAACUUCAUGAAACUGGGGCUAAUACCGGAUAGGAGCUCCUGCUGCAUGGUGGGGGUUGGAAAGUUUCGGCGGUUGGGGAUGGACUCGCGUCUUAUCAGCUUGUUGGUGGGGUAGUGGCUUACCAAGGCUUUGACGGGUAGCCGGCCUGAGAGGGUGACCGGCCACAUUGGGACUGAGAUACGGCACAGCCUCCUACGGGAGGCAGCAGUGCGGUAUAUUGCACAAUGGGCGGAAGCCUAAUGCAGCAAAGCCGCGUGCGGGAUGACGGCCUUCGGGUUGUAAACCGCUUUCGCCUGUGACGAAGCGUGAGUGACGGUAAUGGGUAAAGAAGCACCGGCUAACUACGUG
rnacentral:rRNA from 1 species